UUUAGUGCUCAGCUUCCUAUUAAAACACCCCAGUCAGGCAGGAUCAAUCCCUACAAAUCUGCCAAGAAAGAUACAACUUGGAUCAAACAAUAGCGUUUUCACUCAGGCUGCACAGACACAGUUUGGCUCUGAUGUGUUUUCCCGGGCGAAUUACAAAAGCAGGAUUUGGAGAUUCUUCCGUCUCGGGAAUUAAAUGCUCAGAACUAUUGGCUGUCAACUUGAAGAAUGUUAGAUCUGCAUCUCUCCACAAUUGUCUUGAGUUUUUUGGAAUGGAGCCCAGCUAUUAGCAGGGGGUUCUGGAUGUGUUUGUGGAGUUUCAGUGAGUUCCCCACCCUUCCCCAUGGUGGUGCUGCCUGAGCUUUUCUCCAAGCAGCUGAUGAUGCUUUGGGAGAGCUCAGCUGCCUUUGCACCAGCCUGGAUUCCUUCCCGCUGACAACACCAAGUUCCUUGGAGACUGAGGGAACCCUCUGCCCAGCCUGAGCUCCUCAAGCAGCCAUGUAUCCUAGGAAGAUCUUUGCCCCAUACAAAGCAGCCAAACACCUCUGACAUUCUUCCAACAACCUGGAGACACCAGCAAGCACCAGAAAAUGCUCCCAAACCUGGUGUGUUCUUUGCUGAAACAUUGAGAGUGUAGGGGCUACCUCUGGCUGAGCAGCUAAAUAAAUAAGUUCAAAAAUUUAAGAAGAUUCCCAUGCCAUGACUAUCAAAAUCAAGAACCAAUGCAUUAACUCUGAGAAGGGGCAGCAGAAGGAAAGCCUGGAGCUGGAACAUCCUUUGAACAACAGCAAAGCAAGAGAAAGCAAAACCACCCCUCUAAGAUGUCUGCAAACAGAAGGUCUCUGCAGCCCCUCCUUAAACACUGAAGAUAUUUUCAUUUAAAAUAUCUACUUAAAGGCAGGUUUAAUCUCAAAACGGUAUUUUCCACUUUAAAAAAAAAAAAAAUCACAUGCACACAAAAAACCCCCACCUUCAAAAAUGUCUUCAGUUAUUUCUCCUUCAAUUUU